UACGUAGGGUGCGAGCGUUGUCCGGAAUUAUUGGGCGUAAAGGGCUCGUAGGCGGUUUGUCGCGUCGGGAGUGAAAUCCACUGGCUUAACUGGUGGCUUGCUUUCGAUACGGGCAGACUGGAGGUAUGCAGGGGAGAACGGAAUUCCUGGUGUAGCGGUGAAAUGCGCAGAUAUCAGGAGGAACACCGGUGGCGAAGGCGGUUCUCUGGGCCUUACCUGACGCUGAGGCGCGAAAGCUAGGGGAGCAAACAGG
rnacentral:rRNA from 1 species